AGUGAACGCUGGCGGUAGGCCUAACACAUGCAAGUCGAACGGCAGCACAGUAAGAGCUUGCUCUUACGGGUGGCGAGUGGCGGACGGGUGAGGAAUACAUCGGAAUCUACUUUUUCGUGGGGGAUAACGUAGGGAAACUUACGCUAAUACCGCAUACGACCUACGGGUGAAAGCAGGGGAUCUUCGGACCUUGCGCGAUUGAAUGAGCCGAUGUCGGAUUAGCUAGUUGGCGGGGUAAAGGCCCACCAAGGCGACGAUCCGUAGCUGGUCUGAGAGGAUGAUCAGCCACACUGGAACUGAGACACGGGCCAGACUCCUACGGGAGGCAGCAGUGGGGAAUAGUGGACAAUGGGCGCAAGCCGGAUCCAGCCAUACCGCGUGGGUGAAGAAGGCCUUCGGGUUGUAAAGCCCUUUUGUUGGGAAAGAAAAGCAGCAGGUUAAUACCCCGCUGUUCUGACGGUACCCAAAGAAUAAGCACCGGCUAACUUCG
rnacentral:rRNA from 1 species